UCCAUAUCUUUAUUUUAUUUCUAUUUUAUUUUUAUUUUACAGAUGUAGAAAUGGAGGCCCAAAGAAAUUAACUAAGUUGUUGGUUAUAUAAUUAUUUAAUGGGACUCUAGAUCUUGAUGUCAGGUCUUCUGAUUGUUAAAGUCACUUUAUUCCCAGAUGACUUUGCCCAAUGUUUGGUGUUGAGUUUCCAUCAAGAGAAUAAAACUCAGUUAUUGGUCUGUCUUCUCAUCCACAGCAGAGAUCAAAAUGAGCACAGCUUCCCCACAGAGCAGGUGCUAUGAGCAGUGUAGCAGAUCAUCUGCCUCAAGAUCUUCUUCCUACUACCAG